UCCUCUCUCCUCACCGACCUUUGCUUUCCUUUCUGUUCUUCUUUGAUUUUAUUAUGUUUCAGGUUUAUUUUCUGGGAAGGGUUCAUUAUGCUUUGGUUGUAAGAUAUAUCCUUAAUUUGUUGUUCUUAUACUUUAGUUUUUGAGAAGAAAAUCAUGGGCUUUUGACUGUUUAAAACAUGGGUUUAAGGUUUUUUCCCCCAAAUGAUGAUGGGUUUAAGGUUUGAAGUGGUAGGAUUGCUGUGUUGGGUGAGUUUAGAGAUGGCUGGUCUGAUCUUUUGAUGUUUUGUCUUUGGGAUUGUGUUAAAAGUGCAAAAAGCUUCCAUCCGCAUGUGAUUAUCAAAAGAUGCAUAAACCCAUUUGGAUUUGGUAGCAAACAUCUCAAUUUUUCAAUAAAAAAAACUUA